ACAGAGUGCGAUGUGUGCAUUGCAUUGCGACGGGUUACAUCACUGGUCGUAACAUGAUGUAACCCAACGCAGCAUGAUGUAAGCGUCGUGAUACAUUGG
ensembl:miRNA